UGACGUUAGCGGCGGACGGGUGAGUAACACGUGGGUAACCUACCUAUAAGACUGGGAUAACUUCGGGAAACCGGAGCUAAUACCGGAUAAUAUUUCGAACCGCAUGGUUCGAUAGUGAAAGAUGGCUUUGCUAUCACUUAUAGAUGGACCUGCGCCGUAUUAGCUAGUUGGUAAGGUAACGGCUUACCAAGGCAACGAUACGUAGCCGACCUGAGAGGGUGAUCGGCCACACUGGAACUGAGACACGGUCCAGACUCCUACGGGAGGCAGCAGUAGGGAAUCUUCCGCAAUGGGCGAAAGCCUGACGGAGCAACGCCGCGUGAGUGAUGAAGGUCUUCGGAUCGUAAAACUCUGUUAUUAGGGAAGAACAAACGUGUAAGUAACUGUGCACGUCUUGACGGUACCUAAUCAGAAAGCCACGGCUAACUACGUGCCAGCAGCCGCGGUAAUACGUAGGUGGCAAGCGUUAUCCGGAAUUAUUGGGCGUAAAGCGCGCGUAGGCGGUUUUUUAAGUCUGAUGUGAAAGCCCACGGCUCAACCGUGGAGGGUCAUUGGAAACUGGAAAACUUGAGUGCAGAAGAGGAAAGUGGAAUUCCAUGUGUAGCGGUGAAAUGCGCAGAGAUAUGGAGGAACACCAGUGGCGAAGGCGACUUUCUGGUCUGUAACUGACGCUGAUGUGCGAAAGCGUGGGGAUCAAACAGGAUUAGAUACCCUGGUAGUCCACGCCGUAAACGAUGAGUGCUAAGUGUUAGGGGGUUUCCGCCCCUUAGUGCUGCAGCUAACGCAUUAAGCACUCCGCCUGGG
rnacentral:rRNA from 1 species